ACAGGACAUUUUACCAGUGUGAGCGGUGGAUGCAAGGAAUGACAUGGAUGCUCCAGCCAGAGGACAAGGGUGGAAACUGGAGGGGCAGAGCAGCCACCGCUGAACCACUAGGAUCGCGAAACUGUUGGUAACACUGUUUAAACACGAGCACACAAUGUAGGUUGGCACCUAUGGACAUCAAGUUGUCUCCCACAGUAGCUGGUACUAGGCCUGACAUGUUGCUGUCUUAUGGCCUGUUCAGAUUUGGCCAUGUCAUGUUGACUUUUGAUCUUUCAAGUGGUGCUAAGGAACAAGAAUGUGUAAUACUUUUAAAUGCAGCAUUUGGACCAAAAAUAAUUCUACAAGUUUUAUAGAAACCUCAAAGCUUUAAGUUAACUUUUGAAUGGCUUUGACUCCAGGCUUUCAGUAUUAAUUGCUGACUCGUCUCUGCCAAGUUUGGGUUCUGCAAAACUUUCCAAUAACUUAGUUUGUGGUGGCGCGUUUAGAAUCUUAUUCUCAAAGCAUAAUGGGAGGCCUCCCAGCAGGGGAACCUAUUUCACCCCUGUUUAUUUUACAGUAGUUUAUUGUUGCACAGAUUGUAUCAUACUUUCAACCGUACGUGGCGCUGUAUUUGGACGGUCGGUGUAUUUAGAGGACCAAACCGGGCAGAGAUGACUCAAAGCAGCUCUGUGAGCACCCAGUUUAUGUUUCAUCCUAGUGAAGAGCACCACAGCAGUGCUACCAAAGCUGGACACUGUUAGAUGAGAUAUUCAGUGAACAUCUGAGUUUUCAAAUGGUUAAUCUUGCAUCCUAAGCUGGCAGGUUAUUGAGGUGCAGUAGUUGUGUGGACAGAAAAUUGGAGUUUCAACCUAGGCUAAAGAGAAAUUGAUAUUUAGUAGACUCCAAAUAUAAGAAAUUAGAAAACCGAUCAGUUUGACAACAUGUUUGGCCCAGUACCAGCUGGAGAGUGUGAUCAGCACUCAAAGGAGCAUGCGGACGAUGCGGUGGAUGCAGCUACGACGGGACCAGCCAGUCCACAAGGAAACACUGAAGUAGCAGAGGAUCAAACUAUAAAACAUCUGUUGAGGUCAAGAUUCUGGCCACAGAACGGUUGCCUCAGGGACUCAUGGACUUCAGGCUGAGUCUCAGUAGCUGGUACUGGGCCUGACAUGGUGCCAAUUUGACCUUCAGAAUUUGGCCAUUGUGAACUCCCCCCCCCAUAAAGUUUUUAAAGCCCUAAAGUUGUUGUAAUCAUCAUCCUAGAUUUUUAUCUGAAAUCGGGGUUGACUGGGUUCAACUCGUGAGGAUUUCAGGGUUAAAUGCUGACUCGUCUCUGCCAUGUUUGAAUUCCUGUGUAAAAGUAACGUGUAUUCUUAAGUUUAUACAGUUCAGUUUUCAGGCAUAAUGGGAGGCCUCCCAGCAGGGGAACUUACCCCACCCCUGCUCUGUAUUUGUACAGUAGCUGGUUGAUACUCGGUUUUAAGUGUUCGUCCGUUCGUGGUGCGAUUUUACUCGGUAGGGCGGCGUUUACAUUGGAAAGCAAACCUGGCAGAGAUGAAUUGAAGCUGAUGAGUGAGUAAAUUUUGUUGUUUCUAGUACUGGUGAGCACAACUACCAAAACCUAAAGGAUGUCUGGUUGCACAGAACUGGUUAACCUGGACUGAGGAAAAAUAAAACAUUAAGUUCAAACUUAAUAUUAAUACGCUUAAAUAAAAGCCUUAACAAAACAGACAUGUUUGGCCCGGUACCAGUUGGAGAGUGUGAUCAGCACUCAAUGGAGGAUGCAGGAAUGACUGGACCAACCAAUAGAGGAGGAAAGACUGAGGAAGCGGAGCAGCCACAACCAAACCACCCAUGCAGGAUCAAAGUACAACCCAUCUGUAAUGCAGGUCAAGACUCUAUGCACACAAGUUGGCUCAGGGAUCUGUGGACUUCAGAAGCCAGUAGCUGGUACUGGGCCUGACGUGUUGCCAGUUUGAUCUGUUCAAUAUUUGGCCACUGAAAACCUCUUCAAACUUCUCCACCCCACAUAGUUAUAUAUGAAUUAUAUGAAGACCUACAGUACCUUUUUUCAGUUCUGUGGUUGCAGUCAUCACCAUCCUACAUUUUUAUCUGAAUCAUUAUCAUUGGUGUUGACUGGGUUUGACCCGUGAGGAUUCAGGGUUAAAUAUGAUCACAUCUCUGCCAAGUUUGAAUUCCUUUGUAAAAUUUAACGCGUCGACUUUUUCUAGGAUGAUGGGAGGCCUCCCAGCAGGGGAACUUAAACCCACCCCUGUUCUGUAUUGGUACAGUAGUUGAUACUCGGCUUUAAGCGUUCAUCUGUUCGUGGUGCGGUUUUACUCGGUAGGGCGGCGUUUACAUUGGAAAGCAAACCUGGCAGAGAUGACUUGAAGCUGAUGAGUGAGCAAAUUUAGUUGUUUCUAGUGAUCGUGACCACUAAAACCUAAAGAUGACACGUUGAACAGAACUGUUCAACGUGUCAUCUGAGUGCGGAAAGGAAUUACAUUUAUAUAAAUCCAAGACAAAUCUGGCAACAUGUUUGACCCAGUACCACCAAAGACCAUCAAAGACUCAACUGUUUGUUUUUGUUUUUUUUUUU